rnacentral:snRNA from 1 species
GGAUUGAAGGUGAUCUGACUGUAACGUCUGUCACCCCAUUGAUCAUCAGGGUUGAUCCAUUGCUCUAGCUGGCUAAACAGGUGUCUUUUCCCUCCCUCCCUCCCUCCCUCCCUCCUUCCCUCCCUCCCAGGUCCAGAAUUAGAUGACCUCCCUGAUAAAGAAGGUUCACUCUUUGCUCAAGAUCUAUGAGUAGCCAUGAUCCUCUGCUAAAAGCUUCAAAACAAUCUCGCAAAACUUCUGGUGCUACCGUAAGGAUCUAUAAGUCAUUCAUGGUCAGUCUCUAUGUCAAAGACUCUAACAGU